UCCAUUUUUACCUGUUUAUAACUUUCAAGUUGAUUGGUAAGAUUGACAUUUGAUGUCUGUCUUUUGGCCCCUUAAGUUAGCCAGAGCAUCUAUAAGUUAAAUAUUUCAAUUCUUCACUUCUAUUGGUCAAUCAUCGACUUCACUCUCAACUAAUGCUAUUAAAAGUGUGUGGCAUAGCUGAUUAAAACUAGCUCAUAAGAAUUAAGUGCUCCAACUUUUUUUUUCUUUGAGAAUUGGUAAACGUUGUUUUCUUCAGCAUUAAGGAUAUGCUGGGGACCUUUAGAAAAUCAGAAAAGAACAAAAAACAUAAUAUUUACAAGGAUCAUAAGCAUUCUGAAAGUUGAUCUGAAUCCUCUAAUCCUAUCUCUUUACACCAAAAAUAUAGAGAUACAAUACAAUUCCAUUUAAUCUUGUGAAUGGAAUUGGAUAUAUCUUCAAAAUUCCUACUAUUCCUCUCCUUCCACACUGUCCACCAAAUGCAAUGUGGAAUUUAAUUCCAUCAGGUCUUCUAUCUCUUGCUACCUCCUUUCCUGAUCCAACAACUAGGUAGAUAGCGGUAUGUUUGGGCAUAGUCCAUUUCACUUCAAAAUAGUUGAGAAACAUGGACCAUUGCUGUGAAAGUACAAUGCAAGAAUAGGUGAUUGUUAGUUUCCCCUGCCUUCCCACAUAAAGAGCACCACGGAAGUAUGAUCUUUCUUGUUUUAAAUAAGUAGUUGCGUGUUUGGAUAAGAGUAUUGAGACUGAUAAUAAGCUCUUGCCAGUUGGUGUGUUUGGUAAAAAUGUGUUAAUAAGCAUUCUGUAGGUAAUAUGACUGAAGUACCCUUAUUUUUAUUUUAAAUGUAAGUUUAGUAGGCGUAUUUUCACAUGAAAAAGAUGAAUGACGAAAAUCGAUGGAGAAGAAGUUAAGAAUUUUCUUUUUCUUUGAAACUGGAACUUAAGAAUUUUCUUUUAGGAAGUGUAUUUCAGGGAUUACAAAAGAUUAAGGGACAAUAUAGCACGAAAAGAUUUGGUCAAACCAAAAGUGCUUAUAUAAACUGAGAAGCCAUCUAAGCACUUUGGUAUUAACCAAACACAUAGAUGAGCAACAAAAGUGCUUAAGCCUGAUUAACCAACUUAUAAGCUGACAGUCCAACACAUUUGUGAAUCACUUGUCGGAGAAGUUAUUUGGCGAUUGAGAUUUUAGGAGAAACCUUCAGGACUGAGAGUUGGCUGAAUUUAAUAAUUUGGUGGAGCUACUUUAUGAGCCGAAUUUACCAGUAAAUGCACCUAACAUUUGGAAAUGGCCAAAUAAAAGGGAUGGUUGCUCACGUUCUUAUCAUCUGAGGUUGCUAGGGAGAGAGGAACCUACAUUUCCACAACGCUCUAUUGGAUUCCAGGAUGCUCAGGAAGGUGGCUGCACAACUGUAGUUGCUAAUCACUGGUUUGGAAUGGAAUGAGUGGUGUGGGGCACAUGAAGGAGGCGUUGCAUAAUUGGACCUUCUGGAGGGGGAAGUGAAUUCUAAGGGGAUGUAGCUCCAUUAGCCAUCAUCUGUGUUAUAUGGGGAGACUCCAAGUUUCAUAAAAUUGUGAAGUAGUCUUUGUUUCUAGUUUCUUUGUGGUGUACCCUUGAGGUCCCCAUUUGUAUAGAUGAUUGGUUUUCUUUUGUGGUGAACCAUAUUUUGAUGUAGGUUCUCUUUUUGUUUUUUUUUGGUAUAUGGCUUGUAUAGAGGUUUCGCUUCAUUAAUAAAAUUAUUUACCUUAUCAACAAA